rnacentral:rRNA from 1 species
UACGGAGGGUGCAAGCGUUAUCCGGAUUCACUGGGUUUAAAGGGUGCGUAGGUGGGUCUGUAAGUCAGUGGUGAAAUCUCCGUGCUUAACAUGGAAACUGCCAUUGAUACUAUAGAUCUUGAAUUUUCCGGAGGUCAGCGGAAUAUGUCAUGUAGCGGUGAAAUGCUUAGAUAUGACAUAGAACACCGAUUGCGAAGGCAGCUGACUACAGGGACAUUGACACUGAGGCUCGAAAGCGUGGGGAUCAAACAGG